rnacentral:rRNA from 1 species
GCGGACGGGUGAGUAAUGUCUGGGAAACUGCCUGAUGGAGGGGGAUAACUACUGGAAACGGUAGCUAAUACCGCAUAACGUCGCAAGACCAAAGAGGGGGACCCUCGGGCCUCUUGCCAUCGGAUGUGCCCAGAUGGGAUUAGCUUGUUGGUGGGGUAACGGCUCACCAAGGCGACGAUCCCCAGCUGGUCUGAGAGGAUGACCAGCCACACUGGAACUGAGACACGGUCCAGACUCCUACGGGAGGCAGCAUG